ensembl:ncRNA F42D1.6 ncRNA
UCAUCCUUCUCUACCACUUUUCUUGGCGGGAAAGUAGCAAUUACUCGAUUUUCAUGUAGUUUUGAACCAAUUGGAUAGAAAGGCGAACACGAUAAUUCGAUUGAGUAGAGUGUUCGUAAUUACUAUGACUAUGAGACUAC